UACGUAGGGUGCAGGCAUUAAUCGGAAUUACUGGGCGUAAAGCGUGCGCAGGCGGUUUGCUAAGACAGGUGUGAAAUCCCCGGGCUUAACCUGGGAACUGCGCUUGUAACUGGCAAGCUAGAGUGUGGCAGAGGGGGGUGGAAUUCCACGUGUAGCAGUGAAAUGCGUAGAGAUGUGGAGGAACACCGAUGGCGAAGGCAGCCCCCUGGGCUAACACUGACGCUCAUGCACGAAAGCGUGGGGAGCAAACAGG
rnacentral:rRNA from 1 species